GAUGAAGAACGCAGCGAAAUGCGAUAAGUAAUGUGAAUUGCAGAAUCCAGUGAAUCAUCAAAUCUUUGAACGCACAUUGCGCCCGCCAGCAUUCUGGCGGGCAUGCCUGUUCGAGCGUCAUUUCAACCCUCGACCUCCCUUUGGGGAAGUCGGCGUUGGGGACCGGCAGCACACCGCCGGCCCUGAAAUGGAGUGGCGGCCCGUCCGCGGCGACCUCUGCGUAGUAAACCAACUCGCACCGGAACCCCGACGUGGCCACGCCGUAAAACACCCAACUUCUGAACGUUGACCUCGAAUCAGGUAGGACUACCCGCUGAACUUAAGCAUAUCAAUAAGCGGAGGA
rnacentral:misc_RNA from 1 species